UGCCAGCCGCCGCGGUAAUACGGAGGGGGUUAGCGUUGUUCGGAAUUACUGGGCGUAAAGCGCACGUAGGCGGAUCAGAAAGUAUGGGGUGAAAGCCCCGGGCUCAACCUGGGAACUGCACCUGAUACUGCCAGUCUAGAAUACGGUAGAGGGUAGUGGAAUUUCCUGUGUAGCGGUGAAAUGCGUAGAUAUAGGAAGGAACACCAGUGGCGAAGGCGACUACCUGGACCGAUAUUGACACUGAGGUGCGAAAGCGUGGGGAGCAAACAGGAUUAGAUA
rnacentral:rRNA from 1 species